GUGUCAGCAGCCGCGGUAAUACGGGGGGAGCAAGCGUUGUUCGGAAUCACUGGGCGUAAAGGGCGUCUAGGCGGUUCGGUAAGUGGGAUGUGAAAUGCCCGGGCUCACCCCGGGACCUGCAUCCCAAACUGCUGAGCUUGAGUACAGGAGAGGGUAGGGGAAUUCCAGGUGUAGCGGUGAAAUGCGUAGAUAUCUGGAGGAACACCGGUGGCGAAGGCGCCUACCUGGCCUGUUACUGACGCUGAAGCGCGAAAGCUAGGGGAGCAAACGGGAUUAGAUACCCCCGUAGUCC
rnacentral:rRNA from 1 species